GAUGAACGCUGGCGGCGUGCCUAAUACAUGCAAGUCGAGCGAACAGACCAGGAGUUUGCUCCUCUGACGUUAGCGGCGGACGGGUGAGUAACACGUGGAUACCCUACCUAUAAGACUGGGAUAACCUCGGGAAACCGGAGCUAAUACCGGACAAUAUACUGAACCGCAUGGAUCAAUAGUGAAAAACGGCUUUCAUGUCACUUAUAGAUGGAUCCGCGCCGCAUUAGCUAGUUGGUAAGGUAACGGCUUACCACGGCAACGAUGCGUAGCCGACCUGAGAGGGGGAUCGGCCACACGGGAACUGAGACACGGUCCAGACUCCUACGGGAGGCAGCAGUAGGGAAUCUUCCGCAAUGGGCGAAAGCCUGACGGAGCAACGCCGCGUGAGUGAUGAAGGUCUUCGGAUCGUAAAACUCUGUUAUUAGGGAAGAACAAAUGUGUAAGUAACUAUGCACGUCUUGACGGUACCUAAUCAGAAAGCCACGGCUAACUACGUG
rnacentral:rRNA from 1 species